CUGCUGAUUAGUGGAGAGUGCUUAUUAACUGCCACAGAUACUGUUGAUGUGGCAAUGCCGCUGAACUUCACUGGAGGUCAAUUGCACAGCAGAAUGUUCCAGAAUUUUCCUACUGAGUUGUUGCUGUCAUUAGCAGUAGAACCUCUGACUGCCAAUUUCCAUAAGUGGAGCCUCUCCGUGAAGGAUAUAAGUAUCCAGUAUAUGGUGUCCAGUGGCAUCCAGAGAAAGCACCUUAUGAGUGGAAGAAUUUGGAUGGCAUUUCCCAUGCACCUAAUGCUGUGAAAACCGCAUUUUAUUUAGCAGAGUUUUUUGUUAAUGAAGCUCGGAAAAACAACCAUCAUUUUAAAUCUGAAUCUGAAGAGGAGAAAGCAUUGAUUUAUCAGUUCAGUCCAAUUUAUACUGGAAAUAUUUCUUCAUUUCAGCAAUGUUACAUAUUUGAUUGAAAGUCUUCAAUUUGUUAACAGAGCAAAUUUGAAUAAUUCCAUGAUUAAACUGUUAGAAUAACUUGCUACUCAUGGCAAGAUUAGGAAGUCACAGAUUCUUUUCUAUAAUGUGCCUGGUUCUGAUUCUUCAUUCUGUAUGUGACUAUUUAUAUAACAUUAGAUAAUUAAAUAGUGAGACAUAAAUAGAGUGUUUUUCAUGGAAAAGCCUUCUUAUAUCUGAAGAUUGAAAAAAAUAAAUUUACUGAAAUACAAA
rnacentral:sRNA from 1 species